UUAGUAGAAGCUAUCUAGCAGUCCACUGUUACUGGAAAGAAAGGAAGGACUUUCCCUACUAAA
rnacentral:tRNA from 1 species